UGGUACCAAACAAAAGGAUAAAAUUGAAAAUUAAACAUUAAAACACAAUUAGAAAAUAUAAGAUUAUAAUUCUGGAGGAAGAAAUGAAGAAUACUUAUUCCUAUAUCUACUCGAUUUUCCUGCUCUAUUAUAUUUCAUUUUUCUUCUUUUCAUUUUCCCAAAAUGGCUAUUUAUAAAAGGAAGAAGAGAGUCGUAGUGGUUGUCAAUUGGAGAAGCAAUUGGAAUAUCUCAUCACUUAACGGUUUCAAAACCCCCCUCCAUAUAUUCUCAAAUAUUUGAUCUACCUACUUCUGAUCAGCAACAUCGUUGGCUCACUUGGGACAUGGCUUGAGAAGAUUUCAUUGGUGAGUAACCAUCAUUUUUCAUCUUUGGGGACAUGUAUGAUUAGUACUAGGAUGUCAUGACCACUCACUUCCAAGGGCAAUUUGAUCUGCUUCAGGGCAAACUUGAGGACGUCUCCGUUUGUAUCCAAACCAAGCAUGUCUUCCCGCCUCCUCAGCCUUGAGCCAUAAUCUUUUCCCCCUUAUUUUGAUGUUGCCAAAGGGGUAGAUACAUUUAUAAGCAUAUCUAGGUAUAUAUUUUGUAUGUGCUUAUCAUAGUUUAGACAUGUUUAGCUUACUUUUGGAUAUUGUUAUUGGCAUCUUUUGAUUACUUAUGAUCAUUAUCUUUUUGGAUCCUGUUUUGGACAUGGCACAUUUAUGGAUUGGAUGCCAUAUUGAUAGAUAUUUUGGUUUACAU
rnacentral:lncRNA from 1 species